rnacentral:rRNA from 1 species
GAUGAACGCUGGCGGCGUGCCUAAUACAUGCAAGUCGAGCGAAUGGAUUAAGAGCUUGCUCUUAUGAAGUUAGCGGCGGACGGGUGAGUAACACGUGGGUAACCUGCCCAUAAGACUGGGAUAACUCCGGGAAACCGGGGCUAAUACCGGAUAACAUUUUGAACCGCAUGGUUCGACAUUGAAAGGCGGCUUCGGCUGGCACUUAUGGAUGGACCCGCGGCGCAUUAGCUAGUUGGUGGGGUAACGGCUCACCAAGGCAACGAUGCGUAGCCGACCUGGGGGGGUGAUCGGCCACUCUGGGACUGAGGCACGGCCCAGAUUCCUACGGAAGGCAGCAGUAGGGAAUCUUCCGCAAUGGACGAAGGUCUGACGGAGCAACGCCGCGGGAGUAAUGAAGGCUUUCGGGUCGUAAAACUCUGUUGUUAGGGAAGAACAAGUGCUAGUUGAAUAAGCUGGCACCUUGACGGUACCUAACCAGGAAGCCACGGCUAACUACGUGCCAGCCGCCGCCGUAA